GCACUCAUAGCUCAAUUGGAUAGAGUUCCUGGCUUCGAACCAGUCGGUUAGAGGUUCGAGUCCUCUUGAGUGCA
rnacentral:tRNA from 1 species